rnacentral:rRNA from 1 species
GUGAACUCGAAGAGUAGGGCGGGACACGUGGUAUCCUGUCUGAAUAUGGGGGGACCAUCCUCCAAGGCUAAAUACUCCUGACUGACCGAUAGUGAACCAGUACCGUGAGGGAAAGGCGAAAAGAACCCCGGCGAGGGGAGUGAAAAAGAACCUGAAACCGUGUACGUACAAGCAGUGGGAGCACCUUCGGGUGUGACUGCGUACCUUUUGUAUAAUGGGUCAGCGACUUAUAUUCUGUAGCAAGGUUAACCGUAUAGGGGAGCCGCAGGGAAACCGAGUCUUAACUGGGCGUUAAGUUGCAGGGUAUAGACCCGAAACCCGGUGAUCUAGCCAUGGGCAGGUUGAAGGUUGGGUAACACUAACUGGAGGACCGAACCGACUAAUGUUGAAAAAUUAGCGGAUGACUUGUGGCUGGGGGUGAAAGGCCAAUCAAACCGGGAGAUAGCUGGUUCUCCCCGAAAGCUAUUUAGGUAGCGCCUCGUGAAUUCAUCUUCGGGGGUAGAGCACUGUUUCGGCUAGGGGGUCAUCCCGACUUACCAACCCGAUGCAAACUACGAAUACCGAAGAAUGUUAUCACGGGAGACACACGGCGGGUGCUAACGUCCGUCGUGAAGAGGGAAACAACCCAGACCGCCAGCUAAGGUCCCAAAGUCAUGGUUAAGUGGGAAACGAUGUGGGAAGGCACAGACAGCCAGGAUGUUGGCUUAGAAGCAGCCAUCAUUUAAAGAAAGCGUAAUAGCUCACUGGUCGAGUCGGCCUGCGCGGAAGAUGUAACGGGGCUAAACCAUGCACCGAAGCUGCGGCAGCGACACUAUGUGUUGUUGGGUAGGGGAGCGUUCUGUAAGCCUGCGAAGGUGACCUGUGAGGGUUGCUGGAGGUAUCAGAAGUGCGAAUGCUGACAUAAGUAACGAUAAAGCGGGUGAAAAGCCCGCUCGCCGGAAGACCAAGGGUUCCUGUCCAACGUUAAUCGGGGCAGGGUGAGUCGACCCCUAAGGCGAGGCCGAAAGGCGUAGUCGAUGGGAAACAGGUUAAUAUUCCUGUACUUGGUGUUACUGCGAAGGGGGGACGGAGAAGGCUAUGUUAGCCGGGCGACGGUUGUCCCGGUUUAAGCAUGUAGGCUGGUUGUCCAGGCAAAUCCGGAUAAUCAAGGCUGAGGUGUGAUGACGAGGCACUACGGUGCUGAAGUAACAAAUGCCCUGCUUCCAGGAAAAGCCUCUAAGCAUCAGGUAACAUCAAAUCGUACCCCAAACCGACACAGGUGGUCAGGUAGAGAAUACCAAGGCGCUUGAGAGAACUCGGGUGAAGGAACUAGGCAAAAUGGUGCCGUAACUUCGGGAGAAGGCACGCUGGUGUGUAGGUGAAGUCCCUGCGGAUGGAGCUGAGACCAGUCGAAGAUACCAGCUGGCUGCAACUGUUUAUUAAAAACACAGCACUGUGCAAACACGAAAGUGGACGUAUACGGUGUGACGCCUGCCCGGUGCCGGAAGGUUAAUUGAUGGGGUUAUCCGUAAGGAGAAGCUCUUGAUCGAAGCCCCGGUAAACGGCGGCCGUAACUAUAACGGUCCUAAGGUAGCGAAAUUCCUUGUCGGGUAAGUUCCGACCUGCACGAAUGGCGUAAUGAUGGCCAGGCUGUCUCCACCCGAGACUCAGUGAAAUUGAACUCGCUGUGAAGAUGCAGUGUACCCGCGGCAAGACGGAAAGACCCCGUGAACCUUUACUAUAGCUUGACACUGAACAUUGAGCCUUGAUGUGUAGGAUAGGUGGGAGGCUUUGAAGCGUGGACGCCAGUCUGCGUGGAGCCAACCUUGAAAUACCACCCUUUAAUGUUUGAUGUUCUAACGUUGGCCCCUUAUCGGGGUUGCGGACAGUGUCUGGUGGGUAGUUUGACUGGGGCGGUCUCCUCCCAAAGCGUAACGGAGGAGCACGAAGGUUAGCUAAUCCUGGUCGGACAUCAGGAGGUUAGUGCAAUGGCAUAAGCUAGCUUGACUGCGAGCGUGACGGCGCGAGCAGGUGCGAAAGCAGGUCAUAGUGAUCCGGUGGUUCUGAAUGGAAGGGCCAUCGCUCAACGGAUAAAAGGUACUCCGGGGAUAACAGGCUGAUACCGCCCAAGAGUUCAUAUCGACGGCGGUGUUUGGCACCUCGAUGUCGGCUCAUCACAUCCUGGGGCUGAAGUAGGUCCCAAGGGUAUGGCUGUUCGCCAUUUAAAGUGGUACGCGAGCUGGGUUUAGAACGUCGUGAGACAGUUCGGUCCCUAUCUGCCGUGGGCGCUGGAGAAUUGAGGGGGGCUGCUCCUAGUACGAGAGGACCGGAGUGGACGCAUCACUGGUGUUCGGGUUGUCAUGCCAAUGGCACUGCCCGGUAGCUAAAUGCGGAAGAGAUAAGUGCUGAAAGCAUCUAAGCACGAAACUUGCCCCGAGAUGAGUUCUCCCUGAGACUUUAAGUCUCCUGAAGGAACGUUAAAGACGAUGACGUUGAUAGGCCGGGUGUGUAAGCGCAGCGAUGCGUUGAGCUAACCGGUACUAAUGAACCGUGAGGCUUAACCUU